rnacentral:lncRNA from 1 species
CUCCCGCACCCGUAGGCGUUCUUCAGCUGGCCCCUUGAAAAAUAUGUAUACUAGUACAGUGAUAAUGGACGUCAUACUAAACUCCGAAUUAUACACAAGAAACUAAAAUUAAAAAUCAUACAAGACUAACAAAGGCCAGAGGCUCCUGACUUGGGACAGGCGCAAAAUUGCGGCGGGGUUAAACAUGUUUAUGAGAUCUUAACCCUCCCCCUAUACAUCUAGCCAAUGUAGAAAAGUAAACGCAUAACAAUACGCACAUUAAAACUCAGUUCAAGAGAAGUCCGAGUCCGAUGUCAGAAGAUGUAACAAAAGAAAAUAAAUAAAAUGACAAUAAUACAAAAAUAACAACAGACUACUAGCAGUUAAGUGACAUGCCAGCUGCAGACCUCAAUUAAACUGAUUAAAAGAUUAUGUCUUCAUCAUAUGAAUAUCAGGC